rnacentral:rRNA from 1 species
UACAGAGGGUGCGAGCGUUUAAUCGGAUUUACUGGGCGUAAAGGGCGCGUAGGCGGUGAGAUGAGUGUGGUGUGAAAGCCCCGGGCUUAACCUGGGAAGCGCAUCGCAAACGAUCUGACUGGAGUAGAUGAGAGGGUGGCGGAAUUUCCGGUGUAGCGGUGAAAUGCGUAGAGAUCGGAAGGAACGUCAAUGGCGAAGGCAGCCACCUGGCAUCAUACUGAGCUGAGGCGCGAAAGCCAGGGGAGCGAACAGG